rnacentral:rRNA from 1 species
ACAGGUGCUGCAUGGCUGUCGUCAGCUCGUGUCGUGAGAUGCUGGGUUAAGUCCCGCAACGAGCGCAACCCUUGCCUUUAGUUGCCAGCAGUUCGGCUGGGCACUCUAAAGGGACUGCCGGUGUUAAACCGGAGGAAGGUGGGGAUGACGUCAAGUCCUCAUGGCCUUUAUGACCAGGGCUACACACGUACUACAAUGGCCGAUACAAAGGGCAGCGACACUGCGAGGUGAAGCCAAUCCCGUAAAAUCGGUCUCAGUCCGGAUUGGAGUCUGCAACUCGACUCCAUGAAGUUGGAAUCGCUAGUAAUCGUGGAUCAGCAUGCCACGGUGAAUACGUUCCCGGGCCUU